rnacentral:rRNA from 1 species
AUUGAACGCUGGCGGCAGGCCUAACACAUGCAAGUCGAGCGGAGAGGCGGACGGGUGAGUAAUGCCUAGGAAUCUGCCUGGUAGAGGGGGAUAACGUCAGGAAACGGGCGCUAAUACCGCAUACUAUCAGAUGAGCCUAGGUCGGAUUAGCUAGUUGGUGGGGUAAAGGCCUAACAAGGCGACGAUCCGUAACUGGUCUGAGAGGAUGAUCAGUCACACUGGAACUGAGACACUGUCCAGACUCCUACGAAAGGCAGCAGUGGUGAAUAUUGGACAAUGGAGGAAAGCCUGAUCCAGCCAUGCCGCGUGUGGGAAGAAGGUCUUCGGAUUGUAAAGCACUUUAAGUUAGGAGGCGUUACCAACAGAAUAAGCACCGGCUAACUUCGUGCCAGCAGCCGCGGUAAUUC